UGCUACAAUGGGCGGGACAAAGGGUCGCGAUCUCGCGAGGGUGAGCUAACUCCAAAAACCCGUCCUCAGUUCGGAUUGCAGGCUGCAACUCGCCUGCAUGAAGCAGGAAUCGCUAGUAAUCGCCGGUCAGCCAUACGGGGGUGAAUCCGUUCCCGGGCCUUGUACACACCGCCCGUCACACUAUAGGAGCUGGCCAUGUUUGAAGUCAUUACCCUUAACCGUAAGGAGGGGGAU
rnacentral:ncRNA from 1 species